rnacentral:rRNA from 1 species
UACGAACGCUGGCGGCAGGCUUAACACAUGCAAGUCGAGCGCCCCGCAAGGGGAGCGGCAGACGGGUGAGUAACGCGUGGGAAUCUACCCAUCUCUACGGAAUAACGCAUGGAAACGUGUGCUAAUACCGUAUACGUCCUUCAGGAGAAAGAUUUAUCGGAGAUGGAUGAGCCCGCGUUGGAUAGCUAGUUGGUGGGGUAAAGGCCUACCAAGGCGACGAUCCAUAGCUGGUCUGAGAGGAUGAUCAGCCACACUGGGACUGAGACACGGCCCAGACUCCUACGGGAGGCAGCAGUGGGGAAUAUUGGACAAUGGGCGCAAGCCUGAUCCAGCCAUGCCGCGUGAGUGAUGAAGGCCCUAGGGUUGUAAAGCUCUUUCACCGGUGAAGAUAAUGACGGUAACCGGAGAAGAAGCCCCGGCUAACUUCGUGCCAGCCGCCGCCGUAAGAC